rnacentral:rRNA from 1 species
UGUGUAGGCGGUUUUCUAAGUUUGGUGUGAAAUCUCCCGGCUUAACCGGGAGGGUGCGCCGAAAACUGGGAGACUAGAGUGCGGGAUGGGAGAGUAGAAUUCCUGGUGUAGCGGUGAAAUGCGUAGAUAUCAGGAGGAAUACCGGUGGUGCAGACGGCUCUCUGGACCGCAACUGACGCUGAGACACGAAAGCGUGGGUAAGCAAACA